CAAGUCGAACGAGAAUGUGUAGCAAUACACAUGUACAGUGGCGAACGGGUGAGGACUACAUGGGUAACCUACCCUCGAGUGGGGAAUAACUAGCCGAAAGGUUAGCUAAUACCGCGUACGCUUCCCGGACUGCGGUUCGGGAAGGAAAGCGAUACCGUGGGUAUCGCGCUCUUGGAUGGGCUCAUGCCCUAUCAGCUUGUUGGUGAGGUAACGGCUCACCAAGGCUUCGACGGGUAGCUGAUCUGAGAGGAUGAUCAGCCACACUGGCACUGCGACACGGGCCAGACUCCUACGGGAGGCAGCAGUAAGGAAUAUUGCGCAAUGGGCGAAAGCCUGACGCAGCGACGCCGCGUGGGGGAUGAAGGUCUUCGGAUUGUAAACCCCUUUCGGGAGGGAAGAUGGGAUGGGGUAACCCAUUCGGACGGUACCUCCAGAAGCAGCCACGGCUAACUUCGUGCCAGCAGCCGCGGUAAUACGAAGGUGGCAAGCGUUGUUCGGAUUUACUGGGCGUACAGGGAGCGUAGGCGGUUGGGUAAGCCCUCCGUGAAAUCUCCAGGCUUAACCUGGAAAGUGCAGAGGGGACUGCUCAGCUAGAGGAUGGGAGAGGAGCGCGGAAUUCCCGGUGUAGCGGUGAAAUGCGUAGAGAUCGGGAGGAAGGCCGGUGGCGAAGGCGGCGCUCUGGAACAUUUCUGACGCUGAGGCUCGAAAGCGUGGGGAGCAAACAGGAUUAGAUACCCUGGUAGUCCACGCCUUAAACGAUGGAUACUAAGUGUCGGCGGGUUACCGCCGGUGCCGCAGCUAACGCAGUAAGUAUCCCGCCUGGGAAGUACGGCCGCAAGGUUGAAACUCAAGGAAUUGACGGGGGCCCGCACA
rnacentral:rRNA from 1 species